AUCCCGCUGAACUUAAGCAUAUCAAUAAGCGGAGGAAAAGAAACCAACAGGGAUUGCCCUAGUAACGGCGAGUGAAGCGGCAACAGCUCAAAUUUGAAAUCUGGCGCAAGCCCGAGUUGUAAUUUGUAGAGGAUGCUUCUGGGCAGCGGCCGGUCUAAGUUCCUUGGAACAGGACGUCAUAGAGGGUGAGAAUCCCGUAUGCGACCGGCUCGCACCCGUCACGUAGCUCCUUCGACGAGUCGAGUUGUUUGGGAAUGCAGCUCUAAAUGGGAGGUAAAUGUCUUCUAAAGCUAAAUACCGGCCAGAGACCGAUAGCGCACAAGUAGAGUGAUCGAAAGAUGAAAAGCACUUUGGAAAGAGAGUUAAAAAGCACGUGAAAUUGUUGAAAGGGAAGGGCAUGCAACCAGACUUGUCGGCGGUGUUCCGCCGGUCUUCUGACCGGUUCACUCGCCGCCGACAGGCCAGCAUCAUCUGGGAGCGCCGGAUAAAGGCGUGGGGAAUGUAGCUCCUCGGAGUGUUAUAGCCCCGCGCACAAUACGGCGCCUCCCGGGUGAGGUCCGCGCUUCGGCUAGGAUGCUGGCGUAAUGGUUGCCUGCCGCCCGUCUUGAAACACGGACCAAGGAGUCUAACAUCUAUGCGAGUGUUCGGGUGUCAAACCCCUACGCGUAAUGAAAGUGAACGGAGGUGGGAACCCUCACGGGUGCACCAUCGACCGAUCCUGAUGUCUUCGGAUGGAUUUGAGUAAGAGCAUAGCUGUUGGGACCCGAAAGAUGGUGAACUAUGCCUGAAUAGGGUGAAGCCAGAGGAAACUCUGGUGGAGGCUCGCAGCGGUUCUGACGUGCAAAUCGAUCGUCAAAUUUGGGUAUAGGGGCGAAAGACUAAUCGAACCAUCUAGUAGCUGGUUCCUGCCGA
rnacentral:rRNA from 1 species